AACAUCUUGAAGCGUUCGACAACAACACGGAAAAAGUUGCCAAUGGAGGCGGUGUGGACGGCGGUAGCGGAGCGGCAAUGGUGGGAUCCGUGCCUGGAGCAGGAACAAAUCAGCUAACAUCAGCAGGUUUCCUAAUGAAACGACUAAGGACGUUGUCCCGUUGCUUUUACUGGAAGAUCCUGUCUUGACUUGUCCAUCGCGGAAAUGAAGGAUUUGGCAUCCUGAUAGCUUAGUCCAUCAUCAUCCACGCCCUCGGCAGGCCCGAUUAGUCUCCGGGGCCCUUCCUGAUUGAACACCGUGAUGCCGCUUAUUCCGUUCAUGACACAAUAAACGUCCUGAUUCUGGCUAGACGGGACAAGACAGACGGAAAGUGACAAACAGUCGCCGUGCUCCGACCGCAUUGAUCAGUCAACGUCUAGUUUUAGCGUUCAGGUUUAUUUCUUCAGCUGUGCAGUCGGGAACCCGUUCUGGAACAGGAUGUCCCAGCAGUACGGAAUCAUGUCUUGUAUAUAUUUAAAGAAAAAAAAAAUCACGCUUCGUUGCAAUGUUGACACUCAAUGAAUCAAAGGUGCAGUCAAAGGCCCGUCCGACUGACGGCGUGCAUCUGGAUUUCUCGGCGCUCAGCAGCCAAUCAGUUUGGUUUCUUUUGGAUUCUUCCCAGUUUACUCCAGCGUCUGCACCACAAACGUCCCGCCGCCAUCCAACUUUGUGUCACGGUCCUCCUCCUUGGUCAGACUGAGGUAAUAAUGCACAGAGACGCCGUUUAACACUUUCUCUCACGCCCAAGGAUGAUAUUAGACCUGAGUGGAGGUGGUUACACCUAAAAUAGGGACAUGCUGAUGGUGAGAGGAUCAAGGUUCAGCCUCGAGACAUCAGCGAACCCUCAGGAGCAGUGUUGGGAAGAUGACUUUGAAGUGCACAACCUGGAAACCCCUCAAGCACCUGAAAGCCUUUGAGUCCAGCUUUCCCAUGUCCAUCAAGUUGUUCCCCAACUGCACAAGGACCAGCCCGCUGAGCCCCGAGCCUGCCAGA